AAUGUGAGGUCACUGAAUUCAGACUUGGGAAGACAUGCUCACAAUCAGCCCUCACACAUCUCUCUGUUGACAUUUAUGUUUAGUGGUGAAAAAGAAGGCAGGCUCUGGAGAAAAACUGCCUGGGUUUAAAUCUUGUUUCCACGAUUGAUCGGCUAUGAAAACUUGGGAAAAUGCAACUUGAAGGUGACUCUGACUGGUUGGGUUUGUACCUCCACUUUCCAAGAAGAUGUGAUGUCCUCCUGUUCUAACAAAAAAAAUGUUGUUGCCAUAUUUUAUUUUGUGAACCAGAUAUAAUUGAAAGACACAAAUGGAUCUCAGUGCUUCAAGGGGCAGACUGUAAGACAUCUUUUUGCAACUUUUCAGAUUGUAUUGGCUUCACCUAUCUUCCAGACAGCCACCACCACAACCAACCUAUUCAAUACAGGGCCAUGAAUUUUUGCUAUCUGAGGCCAACCAGCCACACUCAAGUCUGUCUUCUCUUGCCACUUUCUAACUCAGAUUCAGAUGAAAUGCCACACCAAAGAGCAUUGGUUUUGGCUUCUGAGAAGGUGCUGAAGGUGUUAGAUGGUGCAAAGCAAUAGUGCUGAGGAGUUAACUCCUUGUGAGGCCAACUUCGACCAGUGAGAGGCAAGAGAUGAGACAAAGCCAGGCAGACAAAUUCUCUUUCUCUUCCUCACUCCAAUGGAAUGUUCUGAAUCAUGAUUUCACCACACAGGCUGGCCAAGUCAUCGACCUGCUAAGUGACCUGCUGUCUCUUUCAACUUCUUGAGAAGUAAUAGCCAGCAUGUCACCUUGCAUUACUUACCAUGCUUCUUGGCCUCACUUUCCUUUUCUCUCACUCUUGCUGCACGGACUUUUAUGUCUCAAAUAAAGCAUUAGCACUUACUCCUUGCCUCAGAUUCUAUUUUCUAGGGAACUCAAGUUAAACAACUACAUUAUCCAGACUCCUUUGAAGUUAGACGUGACCGUGCAACUGGAUUCUAACCAAUGGAAUAUAAGCAGAAAUUAUAUACACAACUUACAAACUUGGCACAUAAAAAUUUGCUCUUUUUCCCUACAAACAUACUAGAAAGGAAAAAGGAAAAGAAAAACCAGAGCCAUUUAGAAGCCUAUAUGUGGCAGAGCCUCUGUUAGCCUGAGUCUCUGAAUGACAGCGGAGGAGAGUGUCUACUGACUUGUUCACACUCCCACUACUAUUACAUGAACAAGAAAUAAGCUUCUAUGAUAUUUGAACCAUCAUAUAUUUGAGGCCUACUGGUCAUGGCAAUCAGCGUACCCUAGUUAAUAGACUUAUGCUGUCAUUAAACCAAUAACUACAAUUAGUAAAGAUCAAAGUCCUAAAAAAGUAUACUGCUAAGGCUGGAAGUCACAUUUUCCUUUUUUGCCUGCUUACCU
rnacentral:lncRNA from 1 species